rnacentral:rRNA from 1 species
UCAAAACGACUCUCGGCAACGGAUAUCUCGGCUCUUGCAUCGAUGAAGAACGUAGCGAAAUGCGAUACUUGGUGUGAAUUGCAGAAUCCCGUGAACCAUCGAGUCUUUGAACGCAAGUUGCGCCUGAUGCCUUCGGGCUGAGGGCACGCCUGCCUGGGCGUCA